AUUGAACGCUGGCGGCAUGCCUUACACAUGCAAGUCGAACGGCAGCACGGGUGCUUGCACCUGGUGGCGAGUGGCGAACGGGUGAGUAAUACAUCGGAACGUACCUUAUCGUGGGGGAUAACGCAGCGAAAGCUGUGCUAAUACCGCAUACGCCCUGAGGGGGAAAGCGGGGGAUCGCAAGACCUCGCGCGAUUAGAGCGGCCGAUGCCUGAUUAGCUAGUUGGUGGGGUAAAAGCCCACCAAGGCGACGAUCAGUAGCUGGUCUGAGAGGACGAUCAGCCACACUGGGACUGAGACACGGCCCAGACUCCUACGGGAGGCAGCAGUGGGGAAUUUUGGACAAUGGGGGCGACCCUGAUCCAGCAAUGCCGCGUGAGUGAAGAAGGCCUUCGGGUUGUAAAGCUCUUUUGUCAGGGAAGAAACACCGGCUCUAACACAGUCCGGGAAUGACGGUACCUGAAGAAUAAGCACCGGCUAACUACGUG
rnacentral:rRNA from 1 species